UACGGAGGGUGCUAGCGUUAAUCGGAAUUACUGGGCGUAAAGCGCGCGUAGGCAGUUUGGCAAGUCGGAUGUGAAAGCCCCUGGGCUUAACCUGGGAAUUGCAUUCGAGACUGCUUGGCUAGAGUUUGGUAGAGGAAAGCGGAAUUCCGGGUGUAGCGGUGAAAUGCGUAGAUAUCCGGAGGAACACCAGUGGCGAAGGCGGCUUUCUGGAUCAAAACUGACGCUGAGGCGCGAAAGCGUGGGGAGCAAACAGG
rnacentral:rRNA from 1 species